rnacentral:lncRNA from 1 species
UCAAUCAUCUUGUCCCAUCUUCCAUGAUCUUAGCUCAUGCUCUUACUAAUAUACAAUCCGAGUUACAUGUUUAACUUCAGGAAUAACUGAUCCUCGUUCCUCCUAGGAAGUAUAAUUCAUGAGUCCUUCCAAUAGGGUAGAGUAUCAUUGUACACGAAAAUACUACUCUCCUAAGGGUCCUCAUCCGAAGCCAUGAACCCAAGAAAUUAUUCAAUUCCAUAUUCCGACUAACCAAUUUACACCUUACUAACACAUACAAUACUGAACUAAUCCCUUCUAGAUCACCACUUAGUAAGUCUCUUCCAACAUCACUCCUUAUGGUUCUCAUUACCCGUAGUAGUGAUACACCUAAGAGUUACUCACACCGAAUAUGAUUCACUAGGUUGGUUCCCCAAACGUAUGACUUCUAUGAUAUCUCUACAGAUGACCAACUACGCACUACACCUUCAAAAAUCCCAAUUUCAAAACUACCAAUCUGACUUGUGUUGACUUGUAACUCCAUCCUCAAUUUGUACAUCCACAACGGUACACUUAUGACAUUUAAGACACUCUUAGCUCCAACACGGUGUGAAUGUUUAUACUCCGUGACCAACCAACCAAACACUUCUCAAGAAGAUAAAUAACAACUAGACUUCCUAUAAGCCAAUAUUACUCUUGCAAUUCAAAUAAAAUGCACUAAAGAUGAACCUUAUCAUUGCCACGGACUUAUGACUGGAAUUUUCUUCUAAACCAAUACCUACUACACCCUUCAUCAUACUGGGGUUACUUGUCUAGAUGACUUGCUACGGACAAUCCUCAUUGUCUCCCAAUAAGCUCUUGCAACAUAACAUAUUCCAUAUCCUACACUUAGUCCAUAUUCUCCAGCUUAGUUUAUCUUUCAUUAUCUAUCAUCAACUCAACUUCUUAGAAUACAAGGCUCACUACUCAACAAAAUGUGUGUUACUUUACAUCCAUCUCAAGACAAGGAAUCCAUUACACUUAGUUGUGACCAUAAUGCUACUAUCACAUACUUCUCUUAAUACCAAGGUAUAACUUCUUCCACUCCACUACAUACUCUAAAAAUCCUCGAUGCGAACAAUCAUCAACCACAAGCCCAUAACUUCGUAUUAAUGAAUCUUAAUGGUCCCAUUGUGCCUUUAUCUAAAAUGUUCUCCAUUACAACAGUUGUAUUGCAACAUUCACACUACUUCCACACUCGGUGUUCACUUGUCUUCCCAUGGUAAUUCUCCCAGUUCCAAUUACAAAACCAUUCUACUAGAAUUCCUUAAAUCCGACUUACUUGCUUUUCUCCUCAACCAAAUCUCCUACAACUAAAACUCACCGGAGCUUCCAUUACUAAAUAAUGUGCGUUCUCUCUUUCCAUACGAACUCUUAUAAUUGAUCCUUAGGUAACUUAACAUUCCAUUACAGUUUCUCACUAACACUAAACCUCUAACUAGCUAUCUUGAAUCUGAUCUCCCUUUUAAGACUGGACCUACUUGGUUUAUCUUCUAACCUCCAUUUGGUCCAUACAUGUUUCACUUGGAAUAGGCAGCCAUGUCCUCGAGUUUCUCCUUAGACUUCACCAUUACCUUAGGCUCCCAACAAAACUGAACGUCCUUAUCCCUCAAGUUCUUAACCACUUGCAAGGUACCAUUCCAAAUAUAUAUUCCAUUAAGUACUCUCGUUCUUCCAAAAUAUUUUAGUGACCUUAGAAACUGAAACACUGAUACACUACCUCACUUCCAGACGUUAUGACAUAUGUGCAACAUAACCAUCCUUUCUCCUUCACCAUAUGGAAUUACUCACAAUACUUAUUCCAUAUCAGUGAGUAUAUCUUAUUCCACUAGCAAUUC